AUCUCUUUUCUUCUUCAGCGCCGUUCACUUCUUUUUCUUCUUCCUCUGAAAUUUCCUCUGCCGCAGCUGUCUUCUUCUUCCUCUCUUGUGCUGCGUUUCUUCCACCAUCUUCUUGUGGUCUGGCCGAGCUCCCUUGUACGCCUCCUUCCUCUUAUUCAUUUCUUGUUUAUUCCAUGUUAAUGUGGUGUAAAACCCCCUGCUUUCUCCUUUGUUUUCCCACAAAAUUAUGCCCUGUUUUGUACCCGAAAAGCAUGCUCUGUUUUUAUUCCUAACUUGAAGCUUGAAGCUCGAUUUGUCCUCUCCUUUUCUCUAGUAUUUUUCGUGUUCUAGCUUGUGAGUUGAACCUUGAAUUUCGGGUGUUUUCUGACUCAAACCGUACCCUGUUGUUUGGUCCAGCCGUGAGCUUCACUUUGGAUUUUUCUUGAUUAUUUUGCUGUUGCCGUGAACCUCAUUUCCCAACCAUUAUCUUCUAUUUUAUUUCAGUAAAAUCAUCCCCUUUAUUUCAAAAAUUCCACCUUAAAUCAUCUUAUUUUCUUCGAAAACCAUUUUAGUUCCAAAAAAUUAUAAUUUUUGGUAAUUUUAUUUUCGAGCUUGCUUUUGAAGUUAACUGAGCAUUUGAUCUUUCAAAAAUAUUACCUUUAAAGCGUUGUAAGUAUUUUUGAAAUAAUUUUAAAAAUUUAAAUAUAUUUUUGUAUUAAUAAUAUUUAUGACUUAGUUGAUUGUACCGAACUGAGUCGGUUAAAGAUUUAAACGAGGAGUAUGAGAGUUGAUUGGAUUGGAAGAGGCAGUUGUGUAUAUGAUUGAUUGAUGUUGGGAUUUGUUGUUGUUGGAUAUUUUUGUCUCUUGUUGUAUGUAUUGUAUAGUACACGCAUGUUCAUGUUUAUAAAAUGAAAACUAAGUUUUCAGAUAAUUGCAUACAUGUUCAUGUAUAUAUUUGAAAACUGGGUUUUUAAGUGAGAAAUGAAUUUUGGGUAUGUUUGAAACGAAUGGAUUGAACAGUUUGAGUCAAAGGUACUGUAGGAAUGGCGGUAAGCAGAGACGGUGGUAGAUUUCCGCCUGUGAUUCUCGCCUAUGGUGCACGCGGUAAAGAUGGUGGUAAGUAGGGACGGUGGUAAAGUAUCACCUGUGAUUCUCGCUUAUAGUGCUCUGAUAGUUGGUUAUUGGGGCAUUUUCUGAGAAAAUGACUAUUGUUUUAAUGGAAUAUAAAUGUUUUGAGCCAAAAUGGAAUUUUGGCGUGCGUGAAAAAUUAUUCAUUUUGGAAAAUGAUGAUUUUUGGAUAUCAUGCAUAUAACAUCAUGUUCAUACAUAUUGUUGUUACUUGAAUAUAUUUUUAUCUUGUGCUUUGUUUAGAUUAUUACUGAUCUGUGAUACCGUUUCUUAGUAUUGUAGACUUUGACACAGGUGAUAGGGGGUUGAGCCUAAAGUUGCGGCUCCGCUGGAGGAGUGAUCGAUAAUCACUUUCUCGUGGGUUGAUAUUUAUUUCUUACUUUUGGUUAUUGUUUUUGGUUUGUAUUAUAUUUAUACUGGUUAACUGUAAUAUUUUUGGUACACUUGUUUUUAAAUAAGUUUGUAUUUAAACAAAUUCUGGUA